UGUUCAAAACAAAUGCCAUAGUCUUAUGCCUCCAGGUAUCACAAAUGCCAUUAAUUAGUAAUCCUGGAAAGUCUGCUUUAGAGUUAACAACGGGUGAUUGGAUAAGCAAAUAGCAGAAGUCCUAUUGCUUGUGGCUGGAUUAGUUGAAAGUUUUCCUUAUUGUCACUGGCAUUCUCCAUUUCUCUUUAAGCUGAAAAUACUUUGCAAAUAGUUUUAACUUCAAGUCUUAACAGCACCUGUUUAGGGGGGAAAAAUAUUAAAAACAAAAGUAACAUUUCUGUAACUUUUUGGCAAGCUGCUUUUUUUUUAAAUGAACAUCUGAACUGGAAACUUCUUGGAAACACGCUUUUCACAUUUCUUUUCUUGGAAUGGUACAUCUUCGCUCAGAGAAGUGAUAAAACUAUUGAUAAACAAACUGAAGAUCUUCAUGAUUUUUGAAGAUGAAAAGAAAAUAAAUUUUGCCAGUAGCAGUCCCAGCCCCCUCUGUGAGCAGAUGACGCCAAAGACAGAAAAUGCACAGAACUCCUGGAGAACAGAGAAGCCCUAAGAAAACUUUUCCUGUGCUGCCCGUGGAUAGCUAGCUUUAUGCUAACACUAUGAAAAAGUGUCAGCUGCAUUUCCUUAGCAGCAGCGAGCCCAGCCGUCUGGAGAACAUCAGUUUCUGUGCCUCAGUCUGUCACCUUGGCCUCCACCAGCCGACUUGGUGAGGCAAACCUGGCUGCACCCAGCUGCUGCUUUCCAACAAACCAGCAUCCUGAUGGUGAAGGCAAUGCAUAUGCAGGUGGAUGCCCAGCCUGUUUCAAAGGAGGCUUGUCAGCCACCCAGCAAGUGAAACCUGUGGGGGCUUUGACUGAACCAUCUGAAUCACCAGAGGCUGCAGAAAUAUGAAUUACCCACUUUGAUGUACCCAGUAUUUUUCAGAAAGCAUUUUAUGUGUUUAUCUGAGGACAUUAGAGUGCUGCUGCUCUCUGUAAGGGCUGAAAAGCUGCUGCUACCAAAACCUUCCAUGAAGAGGAUGCAGAACAGCUCUUGCAGCCUUCCAGGUGGUGUAUGGGGAAGUGGGAAGAAGCAAAAGAAAGCAUCAUUUCAAAAGUCUAGUCAGAAA